UACGUAGGGUGCGAGCGUUGUCCGGAAUUAUUGGGCGUAAAGGGCUCGUAGGCGGUUUGUCACGUCGGGAGUGAAAACUCGGGGCUUAACCCCGAGCCUGCUUCCGAUACGGGCUGACUAGAGGUAUGCAGGGGAGAAUGGAAUUCCUGGUGUAGCGGUGAAAUGCGCAGAUAUCAGGAGGAACACCGGUGGCGAAGGCGGUUCUCUGGGCAUUACCUGACGCUGAGGAGCGAAAGUGUGGGGAGCGAACAGG
rnacentral:rRNA from 1 species